UCCGGUUCAUCACCGGCAGUCCCCUUAGAGUCCCCAACUUUACUCGCUGGCAACUAAGGGCAAGGGUUGCGCUCGUUACGGGACUUAACCCAACAUCUCACAACACGAGCUGACGACAGCCAUGCAGCACCUGUCUCUGCGCUCCUUUCGGCACUCCGUCCUUUCAAACAGAUUCGCAGGAUGUCAAGAGUAGGUAAGGUUCUUCGCGUUGCAUCGAAUUAAACCACAUGCUCCACCGCUUGUGCGGGCCCCCGUCAAUUCCUUUGAGUUUCAACCUUGCGGCCGUACUUCCCAGGCGGAAGACUUAUCGCGUUAGCUUCGAUACUGAUAGGUUCCCCUAACAACAUCUAGUCUUCAUCGUUUACAGCGUGGACUAC
rnacentral:misc_RNA from 1 species